rnacentral:rRNA from 1 species
GAUGAACGCUAGCGGGAGGCCUAAUACAUGCAAGUCGAGCGGUAGAGUGACUUCGGUUGCUUGAGAGCGGCGCACGGGUGAGUAACGCGUACAUGACCUACCUUUAAGACUGGGAUAGCCCUGGGAAACUGGGAUUAAAUACCGGAUGUGAUAAUACGUAUAGAGAUGUAUUAUUAAAGUUGAGGCGCUUAGAGAUGGAUGUGCGUCUGAUUAGCUAGUUGGUAGGGUAACGGCCUACCAAGGCGACGAUCAGUAGGGGGCUGAGAGCGUGGCCCCCCANACGGGUACCUGAGACACGGACCCGACUCCUACGGGAGGCAGCAGUAAGGAAUAUUGGUCAAUGGACGGAAGUCUGAACCAGCCAUCCCGCGUGCAGGAUGACUGCCCUAUGGGUUGUAAACUGCUUUUUAGCAGAGACGUAAACGUCUUCAUUUAUGAGGGUCUGACGGUAUCUGCAGAAUAAGCACCGGCUAACUCCGUGCCAGCAGCCGCGGUAAAG